CUCUGAGAAUUGGGGUAGGCCACAAAUCCUGGUGGAGAAGCCUCCAAAUGUAAGACCUCAGAAGCUGGGCCUCCUCUCAAGUCCUGGGAUAAGCUGGCCAGCACCCAAGUGACCCAAGAGAAA
rnacentral:pre_miRNA from 7 species